GAUCCUGGCUCAGGAUGAACGCUAGCGGCAGGCUUAACACAUGCAAGUCGAGGGGCAGCAUAAUGGAUAGCAAUAUCUAUGGUGGCGACCGGCGCACGGGUGCGUAACGCGUAUGCAACCUACCUUUAACAGGGGGAUAACACUGNGAAAUUGGUACUAAUACCCCAUAAUAUCAUAGAAGGCAUCUUUUAUGGUUGAAAAAUUCCGAUGGUUAGAGAUGGGCAUGCGUUGUAUUAG
rnacentral:rRNA from 1 species